rnacentral:rRNA from 1 species
UAGGGAAUCUUCCGCAAUGGGCGAAAGCCUGACGGAGCAACGCCGCGUGAGUGAUGAAGGUCUUCGGAUCGUAAAACUCUGUUAUUAGGGAAGAACAAAUGUGUAAGUAACUAUGCACGUCUUGACGGUACCUAAUCAGAAAGCCACGGCUAACUGCGUGCCAGCAGCCGCGGUAAUACGUAGGUGGCAAGCGUUAUCCGGAAUUAUUGGGCGUAAAGCGCGCGUAGGCGGUUUUUUAAGUCUGAUGUGAAAGCCCACGGCUCAACCGUGGAGGGUCAUUGGAAACUGGAAAACUUGAGUGCAGAAGAGGAAAGUGGAAUUCCAUGUGUAGCGGUGAAAUGCGCAGAGAUAUGGGGGAACACCAGUGGCGAAGGCGACUUUCUGGUCUGUAACUGACGCUGAUGUGCGAAAGCGUGGGGAUCAAACAGG